AGCGGCGGACGGGUGAGUAACGCGUAGGAAUCUACCUGGUAGUGGGGGACAACUCGGGGAAACUCGAGCUAAUACCGCAUACGCCCUACGGGGGAAAGCGGGGGAUCUUCGGACCUCGCGCUAUUGGAUGAGCCUGCGUCGGAUUAGCUUGUUGGUGAGGUAAAAGCUCACCAAGGCGACGAUCCGUAGCUGGUCUGAGAGGAUGAUCAGCCACACUGGGACUGAGACACGGCCCAGACUCCUACGGGAGGCAGCAGUGGGGAAUAUUGCGCAAUGGGCGAAAGCCUGACGCAGCCAUGCCGCGUGUGUGAAGAAGGCCCUAGGGUUGUAAAGCACUUUCAAUAGGGAGAAAAGGCUCACGGCUAAUACCCGUGAGAGUUGAUGUUACCUAUAGAAGAAGCACCGGCUAACUCCGUGCCAGCAGCCGCGGUAAUACGGAGGGUGCGAGCGU
rnacentral:rRNA from 1 species